rnacentral:rRNA from 1 species
ACGCAGCGACGCCGCGGUGGGGAUGUAAGGUUUUCGGAUUCGUUAAACCCCUUUUCGGUGGGACGAGAAUGGACGGUACCAUCGGAAGAAGCCCCGGCUAACUACGUGC